rnacentral:rRNA from 1 species
UGGGGGAUAUUGCACAAAUGGGGGAAACCCUGAUGCAGCGACGCCGCGUGGAGGAAGAAGGUUUUCGGAUUGUAAACUCCUGUCGUUAGGGACGAUAAUGACGGUACCUAACAAGAAAGCACCGGCUAACUUACGUGCCAGCAGCCGCGGUAAAACGUAGGGUGCAAGCGUUGUCCGGAAUUACUGGGUGUAAAGGGAGCGCAGGCGGACCGGCAAGUUGGAAGUGAAAACCAUGGGCUCAACCCAUGAAUUGCUUUCAAAACUGCUGGCCUUGAGUAGUGCAGAGGUAGGCGGAAUUCCCGGUGUAGCGGUGGAAUGCGUAGAUAUCGG